CUGCAUGUGCUGGUACACAAGUGCUUAUGUUUUUGUCAAUUGAGAUGAUAAGUAGCCUUGCUGUAGCUCAUUUUCUUUUGGGGUAAGUUUGUAAAGGAAUCAGGUGUGGUAACUCAAGAAGUCACAGUGAAUUUACAAGCUCAGCAAAUAGUGGGAGUUAAAUGCAGAAAGCUUAGUAAAUCAGGUGCAGUCUCACUGAGUAUUGGUACAAGAUGCAGGCCUCUGUUGAGGAACCAGGCUCUUAUGUUAAAUUCAUGUACCCUCAGGACUGUAUUUAAGAAGGUAUACUUGGCUUAGAGCCCUCAGUGAGCACUGUCUGGAACAUGGGUUAAGUCCAGGUUGUUUCUUUCAGUGCAAAAUGAGAAAUACUUGGAUGGCUCCAGUCUUUUUUAGGACCCAGAAAAUAAGAGAUCAUUGCAAAAACAUGAACAAGAAGGAGGGAAACUGCAGAAGCUGAGUACCCUGGUGUUAGUAUUGGGGCUGUGGCUUUGCAGGUUCUGGUUGGCAGCGCUCAUUUCUGCAGAGCUACUGUGGGAUCCUGCUGCCCACAGGUACGUGAGAACAUCAGCCACCCUUGUUGUCCAGUGCCCCUGGGAGAAAUGACCUGAACGUAUGUUUCCCUUUGUUCAGAACCAGAGGGAAAGUUUCUCUCGCAGACUAUGUGUCAGUACGUGAAAGUCCACGUGUCCGUAUCUGGCUCAUUCCAGCUGUGAUGCCUCAAAGCUGCCUUUUCUGCCUAUUGAAGUGUUAAUAGUUUCAUGCUAAGUAUGCUAAAGAGGUUCCUUAGAUCCUCAUUUACAUAUGUUUUAUAUUACCCAUGUUUUUGCUUUUCAUGGUUUAUUGUUCCCUCCCACAACUUGCCACUAUCCCCUUCAUUAAUCCAUCUAAUUGAAACCUGACAUUUUCUGAUUUAUUGUUCCAAGUCCUCUUAAAAUCACCAGUCAGAAGAAGUUGUACCCCUGUGUAGUUAAAAGAAGACAUUCAACAGCAAAUUUUGUCUUUCCUGUGCAUAAAGAUUUCUUUUUUCAUCUGCCCUCAGUAAGAGAUUGAAAGAUAACCCUGCAAAGCAUGAAUUUCCAUUAAAUCAGCCAGCUGAGAGAGCAGGCAGGCUGAAUUUUUCAUUUGAAUUUGUUUUGUUUUGUGCUUGAAUAUAUUUUCUUAAUAUGUGUUGGAAAAAAGAAGAGGGAGCUGCUAAAAGAAGGACAACGGCAUCCUCUCCCUGGAGCUCAGUCUGUGAGUUACCCUUUCAUGGGAGCUGACUUGACUUCCCUUGGGUUUUGCUUCUGCAAGAAGGGUGUUUUAUCUGCCUUUAGCCUCUGACCCAUAGGUGUGACCUUACCACCUCUAUCUCUUUUGGAGCAAAGCCUGGGCCUCGUCAAAGCUCCCCUGGAGACCAAUGGUGAGCAUGGAGCCAGAAGAGCAGCUCCUGGUAGUGGAAAGGAUGGAGCUGGUGGAGGCAGUUGGUGUACUGCCUCCUGCAAUCCCACGUAGCCAUGGUCUGGGGGCAGGCAGCCAAGGGCUCAUUCCUGCCAAAUCUGCCGUGCCUCUCACCCCAGAAAUGCAGCAGCAUUAAUAAGGGUAUAAUCAGAUUCAGAGGAGAUGCUUGUUUAUUUCUUAUUGCUUAAAGUAGACUAAAUAGUGUACAAGAACUCACAGAAAAAACAUUCAGUUGUCUCUAUUAAACUUAAUAUUAACUCUCCCUUCUUUCCAUGAAAAAUCUUCUCUAUGUCCUUUAAUGCAAGAUAUAUUGAGCUUUAAAAAGCAUAUUCAACUGUUACAUUUUACAGGUUAACUGACAGAUUUUGGGGUGCUUUAUAGCAACAACAUCAGCAACAGCAUCUACCAAACUGUCCAGAGGGAACAGGGAAAAUCAGCACCAGAAAAAUGUAUCCAUGAUGCAGAGCUAUUGCAGAAGCCUCAUGCUGAGUGCCAUUCUGAUGCUGGAGCAGGAAGAGAAGCCAAAAAGUGGUGUGAUCAUGUUGGCACUACUGCCUGCUGCGAUGAGUCCUGCUCAUCCCACCUGAGCAUUCAGGGAGAACAACCACGGUGGAGCUGCCAGCCUCACCCUGCCUUCAUUGUGCACCCCCAUGGACAUGGCAAUGGCACAGGACACGGGAUAGGCAAGCCUGCAGGCUGCCAUGUUUCCUGACAUCACUGAGAAAGGGGAAAAGGUGAAUAACAGCUCCCUGCUUUGGAUUCCCUCCUGUUUUGGAAAAGGAAGUACAGCAGGGAGUCGGGGAGCCAGGGAAAAUGAGUGAGGUGGUUUUUGUGCUUUGGAUUCAGAGCCCUGCAGUCUGUCUGUGUAGUUCCACUUGGUUUCAGUUUAUGUGAAUUUGGACCAGAAAUUGUUUUGAAAAAAAUGGAGCGAGAGGUGGGCAGAAAAUACAUUUACAACAGCAGGUCACACACCAUGGGGAAACAUCCAUGUGAUACAUUGUGGGGAGUGAAGUCUGGCUGCAGAUCCCACUGCAGGGAAGCAUUAGGGAAACACUUUUAUUAAAACAAAUUCCCAUGUACAUUUUCUGUGGAAAGGAAGCAUUUCGUACAGAAUUUCCCCACAAACAAAGAAUAAAGCUACUCCCUAUAAAAACCUUUCACAUUUUACAUGGAAACAUUUCUAUCCAGCCUGUUUUAGAGGCAAGGACUCUGACCCUCAGGUGUUCUCUGGAGUGGGAUGAAGAUGAGGAGCACUGUUCUUGCAGGAGGAUAGACAAAGCUACAAAAUGGGACACAGCAUGUGUUCCAUACCUUCUAAGAAACAUGGGGUAACGAGGAUGAGAGUUCUCCCCUCUCCAGUUCUCCUGUGUCCAAAAGCCACUUUGUGCGUGAGCAGAAGCUCUACUUCACCAGAGCCCACAGGAACAAACCCAUCCAUCCUCAUUAGCAACACAGCCCCCCAAAAGACAAGAUGCUUUACUGUAAAGAAUGCUUUUGCUUUUUUUUUUCUACAGUGCAUUCGUUCCUAAGUACAAAACUAGCUCACCUACAUGGCUGAUUUUUUCACUGUAUUUCCAGUGUGUGCAGGCUGUUGGAA